UGGGGAAUAUUGGACAAUGGGCGCAAGCCUGAUCCAGCCAUGCCGCGUGAGUGAUGAAGGCCCUAGGGUUGUAAAGCUCUUUCACCGGUGAAGAUAAUGACGGUAACCGGAGAAGAAGCCCCGGCUAACUUCGUGCCAGCAGCCGCGGUAAUACGAAGGGGACUAGCGUUGUUCGGAUUUACUGGGCGUAAAGCGCACGUAGGCGGACUUUUAAGUCAGGGGUGAAAUCCCGGGGCUCAACCCCGGAACUGCCUUUGAUACUGGAAGUCUUGAGUAUGGUAGAGGUGAGUGGAAUUCCGAGUGUAGAGGUGAAAUUCGUAGAUAUUCGGAGGAACACCAGUGGCGAAGGCGGCUCACUGGACCAUUACUGACGCUGAGGUGCGAAAGCGUGGGGAGCAAACAGG
rnacentral:rRNA from 1 species